GUGAUCGGAGGGAAGAUUUAAAGGGGCCGGCGUUAGUCCUACAGGCAGGGAGAGAUUGGGCGCGCAUUUUGAGGCCGUGUCUGUGAAACAGCACCCCCACCCCCACCCCAAAGCACCCUACUUUUUAGCCAUGCUUGUUGAUAGUAAAUUCUGCGGUGAAUGAACUGGGGGCGAGCAACAACUCGGGAGAAUAUGAAUAAUGGAGCAAAAAUGAAAAAAUAUCAAGAAAAUGAAAAUACUUUUAAAGACUUAAAAGGUUUUAUACAGAAGACACUGCUUCUCUAACCCUAAACAACAGCGAAAGCGAAGAGUGCCAAAGUAUUACCUCAUAAGCCGUAGAUUUCAGUCUUCAGAUUGUGGCAACUGAAACAUUAACAUAUAUUUUAAAAAGUUUCAUACGUCCAAAGGGAAGACAUCUGAUACUGUGAAAUGUGUUAAUUUCUUCACUCUAAAGAUGGAACUAUGCCUUCAACACAGUAUACUACACUGUAUAACUUAAUUAUUAACUUAAGUUCUGAUUAGGCAAACUCAAAUUUCCAGUUAUCACUGAGAUUUGGAAUGUUUUACAGCACUGGGGAGGAGGAAAAACCAAUGCUUUCUCUUUUUUAUUCUGGCACCUGUUUUUAAAUUGAUUGUUAAAUUUUUAUGCAUCUUCUAAGAAUGUCUGCUUUCUUGAUUAUUCAUAAAAAACCAACUGUGG